GUGGGGAAUCUUGCGCAAUGGGCGAAAGCCUGACGCAGCCAUGCCGCGUGGAUGAUGAAGGUCUUAGGAUUGUUAAAUCCUUUCACCGGUGAAGAUAAUGACUGUAGCCGGAGAAGAAGCCCCGGCUAACUUCGUGCCAGCAGCCGCGGUAAUACGAAGGGGGCUAGCGUUGCUCGGAUAUACUGGGCGUAAAGGGCGCGUAGGCGGACAUUUAAGUCAGGGGUGAAAUCCCGGGGCUCAACCUCUGAACUGCCUUUGAUACUGGGUGUCUUGAGUAUGAGAGAGGUGUGUGGAACUCCGAGUGUAGAGGUGAAAUUCGUAGAUAUUCGGAAGAACACCAGUGGCGAAGGCGACACACUGGCUCAUUACUGACGCUGAGGCGCGAAAGCGUGGGGAGCAAACAGGAUUAGAAACCCGAGUAGUCC
rnacentral:rRNA from 1 species